GCCGAUUAGGUAGACGGUGGGGUAACGGCCCCCCGUGCCAAUAAUCGGUACGGGUGGUGAGAGCCAGAACCCGGAGACGGAAUCUGAGACAAGAUUCCGGGCCUACGGGGCGCAGCAGGCGCGAAACCUUUACACUGCACGCCAGUGCGAUAAGGGGAUCCCAAGUGUGUAGGCAUAGAGCCUACGCUUUUGUUCACCCUAGGGAGGUGUACGAAUAAGGGCUGGGCAAGACCGGUGCCAGCCGCCGCGGUAAUACCGGCAGCCCAAGUGAUGGCCGAUUUUAUUGGGCCUAAAGCGUCCGUAGCUGGCCGCGCAAGUCCAUCGGGAAAUCCACCCGCUCAACGGGUGGACGUCCGGUGGAAACUGCACGGCUUGGGACCGGAAGGCGCGACGGGUACGUCCGGGGUAGGAGUGAAAUCCCGUAAUCCUGGACGGACCACCGAUGGCGAAAGCACGUCGCGAGAACGGAUCCGACAGUGAGGGACGAAAGCUAGGGUCUCGAACCGGAUUAGAUACCCGGGUAGUCCUAGCCGUAAACGAUGCCUGUUAGGUGUGGCUCCCACUACGAGUGGGUGCUGUGCCGUAGGGAAGCCGCUAAACAGGCCGCCUGGGAAGUACGUCCGCAAGGAUGAAAUUCAAA
rnacentral:rRNA from 1 species